rnacentral:lncRNA from 1 species
UGGGAGGGUUGAUUAAUUGACGAGUUGGCAGUGCAACCAUUCCUUCAAAGAUCCCAAGAUAUAUCUGCUAAAACAAAAGUGCCCCCGGACACUGUAUGGGCCUGUGUUUGCAGUGGCUCUAAAAAUUUAUCUGCAACUUCUCCCCUGUGUGACUAAUGCCUGCCGCCUUCUACUCAGUGGCUGUUUCGACCCAUCACCCUUCCUCUCUGAGGCAAAGAACUCUUCAGCAAGGAGGUAUUUUUGGAAACUCAAGAGGGUGUUUUUGCAAUUUGGCAAUAAGAAGCAACAUUCUCCACUGGGCCCAAGUCACCGUUGAUAUCAAAGGAGCCAGAUUUUUGAAAAAUAUCUCUGCCUUGACUUUUCAGGGAUUCAGCAAUAAGCAAUUAUAUCUGGAAGUACCAACAUCUAGAUUCUGCUUAUCAGAAAAGUGAAUUGAAGGGAAACUGGAAAACACAGGGAAGUCAGAAACCCAAGAAACAAGAGAAUUCAAACACAGGACAGCUUUAAAAAUUGUCCAAAGACAAAGAGAGUGACUUCUGCAACAUUUGUCCAUCUGAGCGCAAUGAUGGGUCUGGGCAUGUGUAUUUGAGAGAAGAGUUUGGAAAAAAAGCUGUGUAAUAGAAGGAGGAGAAUUGGGAGUUCCCAUGGCAAGGCUGAAGCAAAGAGCUUCCCAAUGAAGUGUGAAGUGUUCUAAGAGACAACACAGGACAAUUUCCUUUGAUGGUGAAAUUUUCCAAAGAAUGAUUGCCUUGCUCUUCCGGGCUCCUGUGCCCUGACUUUAGAGUGAUAUUGAACGGACGCCGAGCUGCAGGCCUGGGAACCUUGGAAAAACAGCCGAGGUUGGGAGGAAGGUUGGCUCAGCCUUGUCUAUAUAUUCAAGCAGUACCCUGUCUUUCUUUUUCAACAGUGGUUGCAUAACAACAUAUGAACGAAUAAUAAAUAGCUGGCAUUGGUCAAGCACUUACCCUGUGCCACGGGGUGCAGCGCCAAAGUCCUCACCCGCUCUGACCAAAGCCCAGCGUGGUGCCGGGCACAUGGUGAGGGCUCGUACCCAUCUGUGUAAUGAAGGAAUUCUCCACAGCAAACACUCGUUAGACCUGCUGCUUCGAGCCCUGCUCAAAUGCACUGAAAUACUUUCUGCUCAAAUGCCUGCACUCUGUUCAAAUGCAAUGAAAAGAUACUGAGAGAGGGAAAAAAGUUGAUGCUCAGACAGCUUGGUUGCUGAAUUCACAUCCUGAAAACCAUUUGCAAUCCCAAGACAAUGAGGAGAAGAAUUUUAAUUGGAAACAUGAAUGAUUAUAUCAGCUAAUAUCACAGUGAGGUCAAACUUAGGACCCAGGAGAGUUGCCUUUUAUUUGCUUUGGUACAAAUAACUAGCCUCCCUGGGUCCAGAGCAGUAGGUCCCUAUAGGAUGAGGCCUGACUUCCAUCAGGGCUCUUGGUGGUUUACUAACAAAAGCCCCGUCCAGCAGCUGCUUCAUUUUAUUCUCACAGUUAGUUCCCCAGUGCAGUGGGCAGGGGCAGAUGUGUUUAUUAUGAGUUGCAGCUGCAGAGGUUCAGAGCAUUCAGUGAACUGCCUGAAAGCCACACACUCAUCUGGGGCAGAGGAGCCCUGGUAACCCGCGACACCAGCUCUGAGCAAGGCCAGCUGGGAGAGUGCAGUGCUUUCCAUCACCCCAGAGCAUCUUCAUUCUUCUCGGCUUCUGAGAGGUCCUGGCAGAGGGGUAAGCAAGUGAUGGGUUGUUGGACCUUUUGUGUUGUUAUUGUGCCUUUAUAAACAGUGUUGUGAAAUUAAGGGUUAUUUCAUGGCGUUCCCACGUGGCUCAGUGGUAAUGAACCUGACUAGUAUCCAUGAGGACACAGGUUCGAUCUCUGGCCUCCUCGGUGGGUUAAGGAUCUUGCAUUGCUGUGGCUGUGGCAUAGGCCAGCAGAGAUAGCUCCAAUUCGACCCCUAGCCUGGGAAUCUCCAUCUGCUGUGAGUGCGGCCCUAAAAAGACCCCCCAAUUUUUUUUUUAUUUCAUGCUCACUGCUUGGUUAGGUAUGAUUUUCCCAGAAGUAAGAGAGAAAUAUCUGUGAUGGUUAAUUUGAGGUGAUGACUUGGCUAGGCUGUGGUGCCCAGGUGUUUGGUCAAACACCAGUCUCCAUAUUAUUGUAAAAAAAUAUAUGUAUAUUUUAAAGAUGUGAUUAAUGGAAUUCCCUGGUAGCUCAGUGGGUUAAGGAUCCUGUGUUAUUACUGCUAUGACUUGGGUCGCUGCUGUGGUGCAGGUUUGAUCCCUGGCCCAGGAACUUCUACACGCUCUGUGUGAGGCCAAAAAGGAAAAAAAAAAAAAAAAAAAAAA